AACAGAAAAGAAUUUGCCAUCCAU
rnacentral:piRNA from 1 species